rnacentral:lncRNA from 1 species
CAUCGGCGCCCAUUCCCACCCUCUCCGACCAGCGCCACGCCACGAUCCCCGACCAGCACCACGCCACGCCACCAUCGCAGCAGCAAAGGAAGGUCGCGCGCAACUGCAGAGGUAGAGGAAGGUCGUGCGCAACUGCUGGUCGCACCCAGCAGCAGGAGGUCGCGCCGCCUCCAUCCUGAUCGGCACCGACUUGGACUUUGGUCCUGAGGAUCCAGAUCAAUAUAAGUAUUAUGAGUACUAAUAGUAGUUUUACCUAACUUACCUUGCUGCUGUUGUUGUGUGGAGG